rnacentral:misc_RNA from 1 species
CGCACAUUGCGCCCCUUGGUAUUCCGAGGGGCAUGCCUGUUCGAGCGUCAUUAUCACCCCUCAAACUUCGGUUUGGUGUUGGACUUAGUUGUAGGUGUCUACAACUGGUCUCAAAGAUAGUGACGGCGUCCGAGAAGGAACCGGUACGAGGAGUUUUUCAUUAAACAUGUACGCGGCAGGAUUCUCGGGCGGCGGUCUUUAUACUUAUAAUUAUACAAGUGUUGACCUCGGAUCAGGUAGGAAUACCCGCUGAACUUAA